UAAGGAAUAUUGGUCAAUGGACGCAAGUCUGAACCAGCCAUGCCGCGUGAAGGAUGAAGGUCCUCUGGAUUGUAAACUUCUUUUAUCUGGGACGAAAACGGGAUUUUUAUCUCAAUUGACGGUACCAGAGGAAUAAGCACCGGCUAACUCCGUGCCAGCAGCCGCGGUAAUACGUAGGGUGCGAACGUUAUCCGGAUUUACUGGGUUUAAAGGGUGCGUAGGUGGGCUUAUAAGUCAGUGGUGAAAUCUCCGAGCUUAACUUGGAAACUGCCGUUGAUACUAUAGGUCUUGAAUUAUCUGGAGGUAAGCGGAAUAUGUCAUGUAGCGGUGAAAUGCUUAGAUAUGACAUAGAACACCAAUUGCGAAGGCAGCUUACUACAUAUAAAUUGACGCUGAGGCACGAAAGCGUGGGGAUCAAACA
rnacentral:rRNA from 1 species